rnacentral:rRNA from 1 species
UGCGAAUGGGCGAAGCCUGACGCAGCGACGCCGCGUGGGGGAUGAAGCUUCUCGGAGUGUAAACCCCUUUCGACCCGGACGAAACGCCCGCAAGGGCUUGACGGUACGGGUAUAAGAAGCCCCGGCUAACUACGUGCCAGCAGCCGCGGUAAGACGUAGGGGGCCAGCGUUGCUCGGAAUUACUGGGCGUAAAGGGUUCGUAGGCGGUGCGGUAAGUCGGAAGUGAAAUCUCUGGGCUUAACUCAGAGGCUGCUUUCGAAACUGCCGUGCUAGAGUGCGGGAGAGGCGAGUGGAAUUCCCGGUGUAGCGGUGAAAUGCGUAGAUAUCUGCAGGAACACCCGUGGCGAAGGCGGCUCGCUGGACCGCAACUGACGCUGAGGAACGAAAGCUAGGGGAGCAAACAGGAUUAGAUACCCUGGUAGUCCUAGCCCUAAACCAUCAGGACUUGGGGUGGCCCGCGUUGGCGGGUCGUCCCGGAGCUAACGCGUUAAGUCCUGCGCCUGGGGAGUACGGUCGCAAGGCUGAAACUCAAAAAAAUUGACGGA